GAAAGCAGGGGAUCGUAAGACCUUGCGCUUUUGGAGUGGCCGAUGCCUGAUUAGCUAGUUGGUGGGGUAAAGGCCUACCAAGGCGACGAUCAGUAGUUGGUCUGAGAGGACGACCAGCCACACUGGGACUGAGACACGGCCCAGACUCCUACGGGAGGCAGCAGUGGGGAAUUUUGGACAAUGGGCGAAAGCCUGAUCCAGCAAUGCCGCGUGAGUGAAGAAGGCCUUCGGGUUGUAAAGCUCUUUCAGUCGAGAAGAAAAGAUUGUGGUGAAUAAUCACAGUUCAUGACGGUAUCGACAGAAGAAGCACCGGCUAACUACGUGCCAGCAGCCGCGGUAAUACGUAGGGUGCAAGCGUUAAUCGGAAUUACUGGGCGUAAAGGGUGCGCAGGCGGCUUUGUAAGUCAG
rnacentral:rRNA from 1 species